rnacentral:lncRNA from 13 species
GCUUAAAAUAGUCAGUAAAUUACGCUGUAAAUAGAUGUGAUGUCAUCCAGGCUUUGUUGUUCCAUUUACAGAGCACACACAGAGUGGAUGCGGCAUAAUUCUUCAGAGGCCUCGAGUUAUCAGAAUGACAAAUGAGCACUGGCUUCAAUUUAAAGUCACCAGCUGCAUUAACCCCUAACAAGAGACCCAGUCUGUCAUUUCAAGAUUUGAAGCCAGGGAUAAUCCCUUUUUCAGAGCACAUCUCAUUUCCAAGUGGCUGUUGCGCUGCUGUUUGCCCCCACUCCUUCAGUGCGACAGCCUCAGAGCUGGUGGAAAGACUGCAUGCCACUGGAUAAAUUCGUAGAUGUGGAAUUCCUGGAUCAAAUGAUACUCAAAGAUUUAGUUUCCUGGACUCAGUUUCUGGAAAUUUCUAGAAUGAUGUAAGAGGGAAAUAGAAGAAAUGUGUGAGGAGUUGAAGUAAAUAAUGUUUGCCAGCCUGUUGCUGACAGUAAUCUGAUGUAGGGAUUU